CCUACGGGAGGCAGCAGUGAGGAAUAUUGGUCAAUGGACGCGAGCCUGAACCAGCCAAGUCGCGUGAGGGAAGACGGUCCUAUGGAUUGUAAACCUCUUUUGUCGGGGAGCAAAAGGCGCCACGCGUGGCGUUCCGAGAGUACCCGAAGAAAAAGCAUCGGCUAACUCCGUGCCAGCAGCCGCGGUAAUACGGAGGAUGCGAGCGUUAUCCGGAUUUAUUGGGUUUAAAGGGUGCGCAGGCGGAAGAUCAAGUCAGAGGUAAAAUUGUGGGGCUCAACCUCGUAGUGCCGUUGAAAAUGGUGUUCUUGAGUGAGCGAGAAGUAUGCGGAAUGCGUGGUGUAGCGGUGAAAUGCAUAGAUAUCACGCAGAACUCCGAUUGCGAAGGCAGCAUACCGGCGCUCAACUGACGCUGAUGCACGAAAGUGUGGGUAUCGAACAGGAGUAGAUACCCCAGUAGUC
rnacentral:rRNA from 1 species